rnacentral:lncRNA from 1 species
GUCUCAAAAAAAAAAAAAAAAAAAAGGCUUUUUGCAUUUUCUAGCAAUGACUUUGAAUGAUUUAAUUUUUAUUUAAAAACCAGCUAACCUCCUCCAUCGGAAAAUGUCUAUCAAAACAGAGACAGCUGGACCAAUGUUUCAACGUUCCUGAACAAUUCUUCAGCAACUGGAGGUAAUAGUGCAAAGAAGGGUGCAGUCCCAGAGGCUCAGCCUGCGCUGACAGUGAAGUUCUAACAAGCUUCCCGCGGAUGGCUUCCAUUCUAGUAACAACUUUGGACAGGCAAGAACCUAACCAACAGUAUAUGUUGUCAAACUCCUGGAUUUUUGCCAGUCUCUAGGUAAGCGAUGGUACAGUAUAUCAGCUGGAGAAUCUUUUGUUCAUAUGUUUGAGCCAUUUGCUUUUCUUUUUCCUGUGAGCUAUUCAUAUUUUUUGCCCAUUUUUCUACUAGGUUGUCCUUAAGAUUUCAUAUAUAUGGAAUAUCAACACUUCAUCAAUUUCUCCCUUGAUUCCCAGAGAGCGAAGUUUUCCCAAUUCUAUCAAGGAAUUUACUUACAAAUUCUAUCAAGGAAUUUACUUACAUUGUCUUUGGGACUUUAAAAGUCUUUGAAGAGAUGGGGUCCUGCUGGUCUCAAGCUCCUGGGCUCAAGUGACCCUCCUUACAUCAGCUUCCGGAAUAGCUGGGACUCCAGGUACAAGCCGCUGCGCUCUGCAGGUUUCCCUUUUUAUGUCUGGGUUUCUGAUUCAUUUGGAAUUUAAAUAUACACUAUGCAAGAUGGAUCCAAUUUUAUCCUUUUCCACAGGGUGGUCUUAUUGUCAAAAUACCACUUGUUAGAAGUGAUUUUUACCACUGAUUUUAAAUGCUAUCUUUAUCAAUCACUAAAUUUCCAAAUGUACAUGGAUCGAUUUCUGGAUUUUAAACUUUUCCAUUGUUCUAUUCCUGGGCCAACACUACACAUUCACUUAUGGAGGUUCUCGACAUGUAACAUCUCAUAGGACCAGCAACCUUCCUCAUUGUUUUUUUCUAGGUUAUUUUUGCUGUUCUUGUUUAUUAGGUUCCACGUGAAGAAUCACCUUGUGUAUCUCUCGGUAAAAAGUUUUAUCAGGAUCAUGUCAACCCUAUGAAAUGGAGAAAGCUGAUAUCCCGCAGCCACUGAGUCUUCCUACCCCUCAGCAUGCUCCACCUGCCAUUAUACUUUCACAGGGAUGUUUUUGUUUUUAUGUAGGGUUGAAAGUUUUACCUAUUUCUUAAGUUUGGGGUUUUGGUGUGUGUGGUUUUUUUCUAAGAUAGGGUCUCACUCUGUCACCCAGGCUAGAGUCCAGUGACAUGACGGUAGCUCACUGCAGCCUCGACCUCCCAGGCUCAAGCAAUCCUCUCACCUCAUCCUCCCAAGUAGCUGGGACUACAGGCAUACACCACAACACCUGGCUAAUUUUUAAAAAUUUUUUGUAGAGAAGGGGGUCUCAUUACGUUGCCCAGGCUGGUCUAGAACACCUUGGCUCAAACAACGCUCCCACCUUGGCUUCCCAAAGUGCUGGGUUUACAGACAUGGAUUAUACUGCACCCAGCCAAGUUUAGGUCUCAUUUGUUCUAGUUUUUGUUACUGUAACUUAACUAUUCAGUUAUAACUUUUAAGUGCUUUGGUUCACUGAAUCUUACUUAACUUGCUACUUUACAAA